rnacentral:rRNA from 1 species
GAUCAUGGCUCAGGACGAACGCUGGCGGCGUGCUUAACACAUGCAAGUCGAACGAGAAUCUGCGGAAAGAGGAUUCGUCCAAUUGAAGCAGAGGACAGUGGCGGACGGGUGAGUAACGCGUGAGGAACCUGCCUUUCAGAGGGGGACAACAGUUGGAAACGACUGCUAAUACCGCAUGACACAUUGGGGUCGCAUGGCCUUAAUGUCAAAGAUUUAUCGCUGAAAGAUGG